rnacentral:lncRNA from 10 species
AGGCCUUCCAGGGGGUGCCCAAGAAGGACUUUAGAGAAGGGAGAUUUUGAAAAAUUAUUUUUUAAAAAAAUUGUAGUUUUCGACUCUGCUGACAGUCGAUCAAAGCUAGUUUCUGCUUCUGAGACAUUUUAGUGGCUGCCAGGAACUUAGAAUUUAGAAGAGAAAAAAGAAGAGGAAAGGAAAAAAUCUACAAUGGAGCAGUCUGCGCGGGCGGUGGGGAGAUUGCUGGUCCCCGCUCAGUGGCCACAGUCUCAAGGCGAGAACCGUGGGAAACUCUCCUAGGUGUGAAAUGAAAGAAGCACCAAAACACGCAGUCAUCAGGAUCAACAAGGACCCUGACACUUUUGAAGAGUAUUGGCCAGAUAUUUUGGGGACUGCCAUUCCCUCUGGGUUUGCCUGGUGUGUCCUCAUGAUUAGGCUGUAGGAAAGGCUUUCCCCUUCUGACACACGCAACGACGUGGAUGAAACUUGAGGAUAUUACGUUAAGUGAAAUAAGACAGUCACAAAAUGGCAGGAAGACAUUUUCAAAUUCCAGAAAUGCUGACGGACCUCCAGCGUUUCCAUGUUCCUCCCCACCUGAAGAAUGUUAAGAUAAGCUUAAUGUGAUUAUAACGAGACUUAUAUGCCCAACAAGCAUAGUUUGGGAAAGAGAUUUGCUUUGAAUACUGUGAAAUAAGCUUUAAUCUGUCAGGUUUAAAAAAAAAAGUUCCUGUGAAUUAAUAAUGCAAACAGCACUGUGCUUUCUGAGUGCGACUAUAAAAGAAUUUAAUGACCUCCUAUUGUGUCAAGCUGUGGAUUAACUUCAAUUUUCAGAAGAUCCCAGGAUGCAGGAGUCAGGGUUUGAACUCCUGAGAAAAGUAAAUGCUAAACCCUAAAUGGCCACUGAGUAAAGAAUCCUAUUGUCCCCGCUGCAUAGCAACCAGUCCCAGUAGGAGGAUAUCCUACUUUGGAUAAAAUGAAGUGUCCAGAAAGUGAAAACAGCCUUGACACCAGUUUGUGUUAAAACUAUAUGAAUAUUUAAAAUGCUUAACAUCUGAUCAAAUAACUGAUUCCCGAAGAUUAGCUCUAAACCUUAGACAAGUAGUACAGCGGUCAUUACAUUUCGUAAUCACUUUCAGGCCGAACUCAGUUGGGGUGGACAUUUCAAUUCACAGAAUCAACUGCUAGGUCCCCAUUUAGGAACUCCAUUCCUCCUGGGUGGGCUGACGAUGAAGCCCUUGUUACUCCCUGGUGUCACAUAGCACCAGCUUAUGUCUUAAGGGCAAUGCUGGCGUGAGGACAUGAGAGUAGAGCCCCACAAAUCAGGAAUGUGGUGACAAGAACUGCACAGUGGGGCAGGGAGCUAAGAGAAGGGUCCAGUGGGGAUCCAUAAUGGGCAACACAGAAGGUAGCUGUGCACACAGGCACCAGAGUCUUCAUCCUGGGCCACUGCAGAGAGCCCCCUAAACCCAGAAAAGAACUUGCUCCCAAACAAAAUCAGAUUUACAAGGAAAUGAAUCUUGGAGAGCAUCUCCCCAGGGCCUUUGGCCUCCAUCAGCUGGGACACCCACGUUCCCAGAAGGAGGAUGGCCACCUCCUCGGUGGGAUUUCCCAAGGGCUCCUGCUAGAAUGCGAUGGAUUUCCCUGGAUGGCGUUUCACAGCGGAAACCGUGGGAUUGAUUUUGAACGUAAUGGGUCUGUAUGUGCUUCUGAAAGCGACCUCCUAUAAAUCAUCUGCUCCUCAGAUGGCCCCAUGAGGUAGGGAAGCUCUAAAGCUUGCUUUCUCUGUUACAGAAGGAAAUGAGCACAUCAUCGCAGCCUCUUGGUAAACUGCACCCCCUCCCUUCCUAUGGGUGAACUAAAACAGGAAAAAAUGAAACUGGCAGAUGUGAGAAAACUGGGAAAGAUCCAACAAAGGAAACCAAACUUUGUUUGUAAAAUAUAAAGAGAGGAUGAGGACCCCUCCUCCAGGAUCUCUGUGUGUCUGCCUCUGUCCUAGCACUGACUGCAGUGACACUGCAUGUUUACAUGACCAUCCCUCCACAGAGCACAUUUUCCAAAGGGCAGGGCCAUGUCUUCCAUAACCUGUAUUCCCAGUGCCCUACUCAUGCCUGGGACAAACACACAACAUGGGAGGUGCUCCUGAAUGUGCAGGUACUAACAGGGAGAAGAUGCAGUGGAUUUAACUUGGAAGAUUAUUAAAGGAAGGUGCUGCAUGUCUGCAGACAAUGAUUCAAGUUAGGAUAAAUGCGGAGGCAGAAUUUCUGGGGAAAAGGCCUAGCAGACAAAGGAGGUAGGAGUCUAGAAUGUUCCUUCAGUCUGGUCUACUCAACAAUCUUUUCAAAUGCAAACUACCGUCUUAGCUUAGGAUGGGGAAAGAUCCACUUUCUUAGAGAUGGGAGCUUGCAGCCACCUGUCACACACUUAAAAAGGAAUUUGAGUCCUGGUGCAGUGGCUCACGCCUGUAAUCCCAACACUUUGAGAGGCCAAGGUGGGCAGAUCACUUGAGGUCAGGAGUUCAAGACCAGCCCUGGCCAACAUGGUGAAACCCCAUGCCUACUAAAAAUGCAAAACUUAGCCACAUGUGGUGGCACAUGACACAUGACUUUAAUCCCAGCUACUCAGGAAGUUGAGGCAGGAGAAUCACUUGAACCCCGGAGGUGGAGACUGCAGUGAGCAGAGAUGGCACCACUGCAUUCUAGCCUAGGCAACAAAGUGAGACCCUGUCUCAAAAAAAAAAAAAAAAAAAAAAUAAAAGAGAGAGAAGAAUUCGAUAGGACAGUUGAGGCUACAACAAAGCACCCUCCCUGGAAUUGCUACUGUGGGCCAGGAGAAUUCUCCC